rnacentral:rRNA from 1 species
AGCAGCCGCGGUAAUUCCAGCUCCAAUAGCGUAUAUUUAAGUUGUUGCAGUUAAAAAGCUCGUAGUUGAAUUUCGGGGUCAGUAGAUUGGUCAUGCCUCCGGUAUGCACUGGUCUUACUGGCUCCUCCUUCCUGAUGAACCGUAAUGCCAUUAAUUUGGUGUUGCGGGGAGACUGGACUGUUACUUUGAAAAAUUAGAGUGUUUAAAGCAGGCUAACGCUUGAAUACAUUAGCAUGGAAUAAUGAAAUAGGACGUUCGAUCUUAUUUGUUGGUUUCUAAGAUUGACGUAAUGAUUAAUAGGGAUAGUUGGGGGCAUUAGUAUUCAAUUGUCAGAGGUGAAAUUCUUGGAUUUAUUGAAGACUAACUACUGCGAAAGCA